UAUGGGCGCUAGCCUGAACCANCCAGUAGCGUGAAGGAUGAAGGCUCUAUGGGUCGUAAACUUCUUUUAUAUAAGAAUAAAGUGCAGUAUGUAUACUGUUUUGUAUGUAUUAUAUGAAUAAGGAUCGGCUAACUCCGUGCCAGCAGCCGCGGUAAUACNGAGGAUCCNAGCGUUAUCCGGAUUUAUUGGGUUUAAAGGGAGCGUAGGCCGGAGAUUAAGCGUGUUGUGAAAUGUAGAUGCUCAACAUCUGCACUGCAGCGCGAACUGGUUUCCUUGAGUACNCACAAAGUGGGCGGAAUUCGUGGUGUAGCGGUGAAAUGCUUAGAUAUCACGAAGAACUCCGAUUGCGAAGGCAGCCUGCUAAGCUGCAACUGACAUUGAGGCUCGAAAGUGUGGGUAUCAAACAGGAUUAGAUACCCUGGUAGUCCAAGGGCGAAUUC
rnacentral:rRNA from 1 species